rnacentral:rRNA from 1 species
AUUGAACGCUGGCGGCAGGCCUAACACAUGCAAGUCGCACGGACCUUUCGGGGUUAGUGGCGGACGGGUGAGUAACGCGUAGGAAUCUAUCCAUGGGUGGGGGAUAACUCCGGGAAACUGGAGCUAAUACCGCAUGACACCUGAGGGUCAAAGGCGCAAGUCGCCUGUGGAGGAGCCUGCGUUCGAUUAGCUUGUUGGUGGGGUAAAAGCCUACCAAGGCGAUGAUCGAUAGCUGGUCUGAGAGGAUGAUCAGCCACACUGGGACUGAGACACGGCCCAGACUCCUACGGGAGGCAGCAGUGGGGAAUAUUGGACAAUGGGCGCAAGCCUGAUCCAGCAAUGCCGCGUGUGUGAAGAAGGUCUUCGGAUUGUAAAGCACUUUCGACGGGGACGAUGAUGACGGUACCCGUAGAAGAAGCCCCGGCUAACUUCGUGC